rnacentral:rRNA from 1 species
GAUGAACGCUAGCGGCAGGCUUAAUACAUGCAAGUCAAGGGGUCAGCAAUGGCACCGGCGGACGGGUGAGUAACGCGUACACAACGUACCUUUAACUGGGGGAUAGCAUCUGGAAACGGGUGGUAAUACCGCAUGUGGUUGCGAGGAGGCAUCUCUUUGUAACUAAAACUUGGUGGUUAGAGAUCGGUGUGCGUCUGAUUAGCUAGUUGGUAGGGUAGAGGCCUACCAAGGCGACGAUCAGUAGGGGGCGUGAGAGCGUGAACCCCCCACACGGGUACUGAGACACGGACCCGACUCCUACGGGAGGCAGCAGUAAGGAAUAUUGGUCAAUGGAAGGGAACUCUGAACCAGCCAAUGCCGCGUGAAGGAAGAAGGCGCUACGCGUUGUAAACUUCUUUUGGGUGGACGAAAAUAAUCCAUUUAU